rnacentral:rRNA from 1 species
CCCGCUGAACUUAAGCAUAUCAAUAAGCGGAGGAAAAGAAACCAACAGGGAUUGCCUCAGUAACGGCGAGUGAAGCGGCAACAGCUCAAAUUUGAAAUCUGGCUCUCUCAGGGUCCGAGUUGUAAUUUGUAGAAGAUGCUUUGGGUGUGGCUCCGGUCUAAGUUCCUCGGAACAGGACGUCAUAGAGGGUGAGAAUCCCGUACGUGACUGGGUGCCUUCGCUCGUGUAAAGCUCUUUCGACGAGUCGAGUUGUUUGGGAAUGCAGCUCAAAAUGGGUGGUAAAUUUCAUCUAAAGCUAAAUAUUGGCCAGAGACCGAUAGCGCACAAGUAGAGUGAUCGAAAGAUGAAAAGCACUUUGGAAAGAGAGUUAAACAGUACGUGAAAUUGUUGAAAGGGAAGCGCUUGCAACCAGACUUGCGCGCUAUUGAUCAUCCGAGCUUUUGCCCGGUGCACUCAGUAGCGCUCAGGCCAGCAUCGGUUUUGGUGGGCGGAUAAAGGCCUUGGGAAUGUAGCUCUCUUCGGGGAGUGUUAUAGCCCUCGGUGCAAUGCGCCCUACCGGGACCGAGGACCGCGCUUCGGCUAGGAUGCUGGCGUAAUGGUUGUAAGCGACCCGUCUUGAAACACGG